UUUCUAGAAGAAUCAGGGCGGUGAAUUGGCACAGGAGAGCGGCAGAGAAAGGGCUCGACAGAGGUUCAGGCUUAAGUUUUCCAGGAAUUUUGUGCAUCCGUGACCAUUCAUGUCGCCAGCAGCUCAUUGUGUGCAGUAAUAUGUUCCCCGUUUGGAUUGGUUAGAUAAGGAGGGUUGGAAAUUCUAGCCUUGUUUCCAUGUUAUAGCUUUCCAAGUUAACUAUUUUGGUCGUACUAGAGCUGACAUUACAGAUGCAGAUAAUGGGCACUCAACAAUGGAAAUUGCCCAACAUCUUCAUUUUGCUUAAAUGGGUGCGGAAGAAUCAGCAACAAUGGCAUAGCUUCAAAGCUGUGCAGGAGUGCUACCAUCAACAAAAUUUUGGCAGCAUUAGGAAUGUACAGUAUAUAAGGUAGAGCUCUGACGGUGAUUUUCAAGCACUAUCUCCCAUGUCUUUGUCACUCUCAGUAUUCUUAGUGAAUGGAUCAGGCUACCAAUAUGAUAAGUACUCCUUUGAGUUAAUUAAAUCAUAUUGUGACUGUGUUUCAGCUGAUUUAAGUUGUUGUGAAUCAGUACCACAAUUUAUUUACUGUCUGUAUUCUUUACCUUGAGCUACUGCUGUUAUAUGGACAUGCCUGUGAGAUUAACUGUUUUGCUUCAGAUACUGUAUUUACCAUUCUAGUACUGAUUAGUUAAUUAAGAAAUUUGAUCUGCUGUUAGAUGAGCCAUAUUGUUAAACUAAAGAUUUCGAUCUUCUGUUUCAUGGAUUUGUUCAGAUUAUUUUUAUUCAUUUUUUUUUUGUAUUUAUAUCGGGUAACCACUGCAACCUGUUGGUCUGAUGAGCUAUAUAUCAAAGGCACAGGAUAAAAAAGGUCUUCUGCUGACUUAGCUUUGGCAUGCCACCAAGGCUGUACAUCAGCAAGACUAGCUAUUUGGAUAUCAGCUCGGGAUAUGUUAGGCGAAAUAUUAAAUUGACAUAUAGUAGUAUAGACU